rnacentral:rRNA from 1 species
AACCUGGUUGAUCCUGCCAGUAGUCAUAUGCUUGUCUUAAAGAUUAAGCCAUGCAUGUCUAAGUAUAAGCUUUUAUAUGGUGAAACUGCGAAUGGCUCAUUAUAACAGUUAUAGUUUAUUUGAUGUUCGUUUUUACAUGGAUAACCGUGCUAAUUGUAGGGCUAAUACAUGUUCGAGACCUUCGGGUGGCGUUUAUUAGACCUAAAACCAAACCGAUUUCGGUAACCGGUGAUUCAUAAUAAACUUGCGAAUCGCAUUAUUUUGCGAUGUAUCAUUCAAGUUUCUGACCUAUCAGCUUUGGACGGUAGGGUAUUGGCCUACCGGGGCAGCGACGGGUAACGGGGAAUUAGGGUUCGAUUCCGGAGAGGGAGCCUGAGAAACGGCUACCACAUCUAAGGAAGGCAGCAGGC